rnacentral:rRNA from 1 species
UACGUAGGGCGCAAGCGUUUAUCCGGAAUUAUUGGGCGUAAAGAGCUCGUAGGCGGUUUGUCGCGUCUGCCGUGAAAGUCCGGGGCUCAACUCCGGAUCUGCGGUGGGUACGGGCAGACUAGAGUGAUGUAGGGGAGACUGGAAUUCCUGGUGUAGCGGUGAAAUGCGCAGAUAUCAGGAGGAACACCGAUGGCGAAGGCAGGUCUCUGGGCAUUAACUGACGCUGGAGGAGCGAAAGCAUGGGAGCGAACAGG